UACGUAGGGUGCGAGCGUUAAUCGGAAUUACUGGGCGUAAAGCGUGCGCAGGCGGUUCGUUAUGUCUGGUGUGAAAGCCCCGGGCUUAACCUGGGAAUUGCAUUGGAAACUAGCGGGCUGGAGUGUGGCAGAGGGGGGUGGAAUUCCACGUGUAGCAGUGAAAUGCGUAGAUAUCGAGAGGAACACCAGUGGCGAAGGCGGGUCCCUGGACAACACCUGACACUGAGGCACGAAAGCUAGGGGAGCAAACAGG
rnacentral:rRNA from 1 species